rnacentral:rRNA from 1 species
GACGAACGCUGGCGGCGCGCCUAACACAUGCAAGUCGAACGAGCGAGAGAGAGCUUGCUUUCUCAAGCGAGUGGCGAACGGGUGAGUAACGCGUGAGGAACCUGCCUCAAAGAGGGGGACAACAGUUGGAAACGACUGCUAAUACCGCAUAAGCCCACAGGUCGGCAUCGACCAGAGGGAAAAGGAGCAAUUCGCUUUGAGAUGGCAUCGCGUCCGAUUAGCUUGUUGGUGAGGUAACGGCCCACCAAGGCAACGAUCGGUAGCCGGACUGAGAGGUUGAACGGCCACAUUGGGACUGAGACACGGCCCAGACUCCUACGGGAGGCAGCAGUGGGGAAUAUUGCACAAUGGGGGAAACCCUGAUGCAGCGACGCCGCGUGGAGGAAGAAGGUCUUCGGAUUGUAAACUCCUGUUGUUGAGGAAGAUAAUGACGGUACUCAACAAGGAAGUGACGGCUAACUACGUG